rnacentral:rRNA from 1 species
UACGUAGGGUGCAAGCGUUAAUCGGAAUUACUGGGCGUAAAGCGUGCGCAGGCGGUUUUGUAAGUCAGAUGUGAAAUCCCCGGGCUUAACCUGGGAACUGCGGUUGAAACUACAAGGCUAGAGUGUGACAGAGGGGGGUGGAAUUCCACGUGUAGCAGUGAAAUGCGUAGAGAUGUGGAGGAACACCGAUGGCGAAGGCAGCCCCCUGGGUUAACACUGACGCUCAGGCACGAAAGCGUGGGGAGCAAACAGG